CUGGCUGGAAACAUUAGAAGGGACUGAGGCGGCGAGAUGUCUAAAAUAGGAAGACGCCGGGGACGGCUGGCCUGGCUGCCCGCGACGCUGGCUGCGGGGAUCUGGCCCGGCUGUGCAGAUGGAAAGGCUCAGAGGGUUUUGCUAAGUUGCUAAAGCUGGCCUCAAACUUGGCAUCCUCCUGCCUCGGCCUCCCACGUCGCUGGGAUUACAGUAUGCACCACCUCGCCCCGCUGCCGUGAGUAUCUUGACUGCACCCUGUGCACACCUGUCUAAUGAUCUCCGUGUGGUUAAACUGUCAAUACAAACUUGCUGGGUUUGUCAAUACAGAGCACCUGCAUUGGUAUAUCCCCAGCGUGGCUGCAAAAGGCACUCAGAGGCCCCAUCUGGAUCUUGUAUUCAUUUCACCAACAGUUAACAAGUGCUGAUUUUGUGCCCAGUCCUGUCCUAGCACCUGGGAUGGCCAGCGUCUCUUCUCACAUGGAUUUAUAUUCUAUCUGGAGGGAGAGGAGCGCUAUUUAGAAAAUUAAUUCUGGGCCCAGGAGAGUAAAUUCUGAGCAGUAACUUGACAGGCAAGGUGAAUCCAGGGGGCCAGCCUCCAGGGGUGGGCGGAGCCACUGCAAGGGCUCCACCGGAGUGAGGCUGGCAGGCCAGAGGUCAUGUGAUGGCCAGAGGGGCUGGGGCUGGGGGAUGGGUGGAAGAGUGGCCCAAGAGAAGAGAUAAAUUCUGGGACUGCUCCAGGGAGGGCCUGUGGGCCAGGGAGGGUGGGGGCCAUUGCAGGUAGAAGCAGGGGAGUGACCUGCGGGAUCCCCUGGCUGCUGUGUGGAGUGUGGACUCAGGGAGACCAGGUAGGGCACUGCUCCAGCCCUUUGAGGUGCAAGAUGCGGGGACCUCCAGCAGGGGCUGGGGCCAGGAGUGGAGAAAAGCACCCAGGUUCUGGACGCGUGGGCAGAGCUAGUACAGCUGACCAGGCAGACACAGAAGCAGGGAAAAGAAAUGUGCCCAGAAUGGCCCCAAGGCUUCUGGAGCGACCAAUAGGCUGGUCUUCAGAGCUGAGGCUGCGGCAUCAGAGCUCAGGGCAGCAGCAAGACGGGAGUCUGCUAAAUGCCCAGCACAACCGGGCAUGCGGUCCUGCUGCGUUCCCAUCCCAGCCGCAGUGGCCUGUCACUCCAUGUAAUUGAAGGAGCUAAGUGGUCACCAAUGGCCACGGGUGGGGGGACAGUAGCCCCGCAGUGGGCAUGCAGGAGGCAGGCACCUGCUGGCUGGCUUGCUCAGCGUCUCCCUUCUGGGAAGGACACGGCCAGCCAAGUCCUGGGCAGGGCCAAGCCUAAGAUCCAGGCACAUAAAGGAAGAACCAAAACCCAGAGAUCUAAAAGCGAGCAGAAGGCAAAGCCAGGGUGCGAAGCGGGAGCCCCCAGCUCAGCAGAGUCAAGAAAGCUUUUACAAAGGAAGGACCAGCUACGUUGGACUGUGAGGGGUGAAGAGGAGUCCCCGCACAUGGCAGCAGGACAGGCACGUGACCCGACUGCAUGUGUCCAACAACCCGGGCUGCAUGUGCUUUCAAGCUAUUUUCUGCUCUGGGUUCUGAUUUUCUAGCUAAAGCCUCCUGUCCAAUGCCAAAUGGAGCCUCUGAGGAGCCCACAGCCGCCUGCUGCUCCCCACAUUCUGAGCUGGGCAGAGGCUGAUGUGGGCCAGCACCGUCACCACUCUGCAGGCUGUCACACAGGUGCUUCAGGGUGGCCCCUGCCCCACGCCUCUUGGUGAGCCUCGAGGGUCCUAGGUGGGCUGCUGCCUCCCUGCCCUCUCCACCUCCUCUCUUAUUAUUAUUCCCUACCUCUCCUAGCUUGACUCUAAGAGUUGGGUUUCUCCCAGGGAAGACACGGCAAGAGCUCAGCCAUUUGGAGCUUAGGACCUGCCUGGGUCCAAAUCCCCAGCUUCCAAUUACCUGCUGGGCACAUGGUUCCCCUUCUUGGUGCCUCGUUUCCUCAUCUGUAACUGGAGGAUACAGAGAGGCACCAGAAGACUGAGAGAAGAAUGGGGUCUCUGAGACAGGUAGAACGUAGACUAGGACCUGGGCCAGAGGAGGUGCCCAGUGCUUCUGAAUCCGGAAGCCACAGCGUAGCCUGCAAGCCCGCGUGAGCUGCCCCCAUCCCAUCUCCUCCCACGACUUCCCUUCCCUCUUCCUCCCUCCCACCAGCCACAUGCCUCCUUGAUUCCCUUCUUUGUUUCCCCUUAGAUACUGGGAUUGAACCUGGGGGCUCUACCACUGAGCUACGCCCCCACUCCCUGCCCUUUUUAUUUUUUUAUUUUAACACAGGGUCUCGCUCUCACUAUUUUGCUCAGUCUGGCCUUGAACAUGUGAUCCUCCUGCCUCAGCCUCCUGAGUUGCCGGGAUUAAAGGCCUGGGCCACCAGGCACCACCACACCACGCCCUGGUUCCUCCUUGUUUUCUUUUGAACUGUCCAUGACCAGCACGCCCUCACCCCAGGGUUUCCCGGUGUCCUCUGCUGGGAGUGAGGCCUCCAGGCAGCUCUCCCGAAAGCAGCUGCAUCCCCAGAACCUAGCACAGCACUUAGCACAGGGGACCCCCCAAAAGCACUUAAUGAGGGAAAUAUUUAUGGAAUGACUAAGGGUUAGUAAUUGUUAUCCCCACACACGCCCAAGGAGCGCUUUGAAGGCUUCAGGACAUCUCACAUGAAGACACCCCCAUCUGUCUCUCCCUGCAUCUUAAUGCUCCCCAGCUGCACUAGAUUGUCCCUUCUCAUGAAGGGCUGGGACCCCAGGACCAGAAAGGGGCCAGCAGGUCAUGGGCCUGUUCAGCAAGCUUUCACAGAGGUUUGCGGAGCCCCAUUUCACAGAUGGGAGCCCUGACACCCACCCAGCAGUCAAGGAGGCGAGGAGCAUGUCAGGGUGCAGGCGGCGGAGAGGUACACGGUGGAAAAGGACGUGUGAGAAGAGACGUCAAGAAGAGGUGUCUGCGCACCUGAGACCCUGCUUUACCUCCUGGGCCCCUCGGAGCCACUGUCCUCCUCCAGCCCCUGCAUUGGCAGAGGUCAACGCUGCUUCCGUGGAUCCUUCAAAGGCCUCAAAACCCAGGGUUGGUACCUUCCAAGGAGUUCUGAGCCACUCCAGGUUUGCAGGGCGUGACACGAGGCAGGAGCCCCAGGGAGGCAAAGAGGAGCGGGGCCAGCCAGUCCCACAUGCACGCGAGGGUAGGGACCUGCGAGGUCCAGCGUCCUCCCUGGGAAUCCCAAUCAGUUGUCCUGAGGAGACCAGAGGAGGAAGUGGCAGACCCGCUUACAUGGGGGAGGAAGUGGUAGGAGAAGGGUCCCAAACCUGGGCCGCCAGACACCCUACUUUGGGGGCCAGAUGAGAAAUCUAAUACGUGUGUGGUGCUGCCAGGAGCCUUCAGUAAGUGCCCCCACCCCCACACAAGCUGAUCCCAGGGCCAGCUCUCAACCACAAAGCCCCGUGGCUUCUCUGGCCACACAAAUUAUCAUUAAACAACCCCAAACCUUUCCGGAAAGUUGCGAGCUAGAAAGAAAUGCCCGGUAUUAGGGGAUUUUUAGAUUUUCAGGGCUGGGAGGAUGGGGAUGGUGGUCUGGAGUCCUCAAAGUUCCCCCAAAUCAUCAAACCAUGAUGCCCUGGGGGGAACAUCAAGUCUGAGAUGUCCCUGUUGCAAGGUUCAAUGGUCCUGCCUUAUGUUCCCAGAAGCCCUGGAGACACCCGUGUCCCCAGCCCCCUGCGUCCCUGCAGCAGGAGUCCGGUCAGGAGGUCGGGGCACGGGUGAGACAGGCAGGCGUGGAGCGGGGGUGUCUUCAGUAGCAGGUAGAGCAGCGCUCCCUGUCCCCUCGUCAAGCCCCCAGAGCUUGGCCUUGGCCAUCACCCAAGAGAAGCCCUGGAGUCCUGAGUCCCGGGUUGGGAGCAACUGGAGAGUUCAUCAGUGUCCUCUGACAUCCUUGACCCCACUCUGCUCACUUACCUCCGGGGACAGGCCCCGGGAACUCCCUCCCUCCCAGGCAAUCCUCCGGGAGACAAACCAUGGGGUUGGGCGGGCCCUGGCUUGGCCGUCUGUGGCCAGGCAGAGUGACUCUGCCCUGGGGAAGCCCCUGCAGUCAUCAGAUCCCCCGACAUGAGCUCAGCUCUCUGCACUUCACCUGACCUCCUUGCUCCCUGCAGUUUCUUGGCUGGUGUUCAGGUUUGGCGAGUCCGGAAAAACCUCAAGGAGCCUGGAAACUGACAUGGCAAUGGCAGCAGCCCAUGCAAUCUGGGAAACUUUAGCCAGGGACCGUGCCAAGCGCAGGAGACCCAGAAACUAGUGAGCCAGAGAACAACCCAUAAUCAUGUCCCCUCAGAUCGGGGGUGGGGGACACGCGCCUGGGGGAGGGCUAAUUUUCCAGCGGCAGCAGAGAGAGCAUUCGGGUGGAUGGACUCAAGAGAGCAAAGGCCCAGCUGGUCAGACCACAGAGCUGGCCCAGUGGCUCAGAACAGAGAGGCCGUAGAGUUGGCCAGCUUUCUGGAAAGGAUCAGGGAGUAGACACUUUAGGCUUUGUGGGCCAUGCCAUCACGGUUGCAAGCACUCAGACACGGUUAGUGGAAAGCGCCAUAGACAACCCGCAAAGGAAUGAGCACAGCUGCGUACCAAUAAAACUUUACUUGUUGAUGCCCAAA